rnacentral:pre_miRNA from 2 species
UUUUAUGGAUGAGCAAAGAACGUGUUUUCUUGAGAUGGAACCUACUGCUGGUGAAGAUGCUAUGAA